UUAGACGCUGGCGGCAGGCCUACACAUGCAAGUCGAGCGGUAACAUUUCUAGCUUGCUAGAAGAUGACGAGCGGCGGACGGGUGAGUAAUGCUUGGGAACAUGCCUUGAGGUGGGGGACAACCAUUGGAAACGAUGGCUAAUACCGCAUAAUGUCUACGGACCAAAGGGGGCUUCGGCUCUCGCCUUUAGAUUGGCCCAAGUGGGAUUAGCUAGUUGGUGAGGUAAAGGCUCACCAAGGCGACGAUCCCUAGCUGGUUUGAGAGGAUGAUCAGCCCACUGGAACUUGAGACACGGUCCAAACUCCUACGGAAGGCACCAUGGGGAAA
rnacentral:rRNA from 1 species